rnacentral:rRNA from 1 species
UUUUAGGAGCUCCAUCGGAUAUUUAUGCGUAGGGGCGACGCGAGAUCCCAAGAGGCAAAACGCGGCAGAAUAGGGAGGCGAGGAGUGUUUUUGCGCGAAGAGCGGCGGUGGUGGGAUUGGGAUCAAGGGGGCGGCGGUACCGGCUGCUGGUGAUGAGGAGGUUCGCGUUCAUGCUGCUGAGGGGCGGCGGCGCGGCCUGCCCUAAGAGGAGGCCGGGCGGGGGGCGGAGCGGCGGCCAACGGCCACGGGGCCACGGUAGAAGCAUGUUGUGACACGGUGGCGGAGGGCUGCUCUAGGUCGAGCGCUUCGUCGCGCGCGUCCUCUAGCGUCGAGCCGAGAAGUCGCGGCGACUCCGCUUCGCAGGGGCGCAGCUGUUACCGCUACUGCUGCACCCGUGGCCACCACCUCCCCCAAGGGACCCCUCGCCACCGGCAUAGCCGCCACCGCCGGAGCCUAAGAGCAGGAGUCGGCCACCACCGGUACGAAGAAGGUAGGGUGGGAAUAGAAGAGUUCCUUUGAGUGUAGUCAUAAGAAGUAUACCACCACCUAUGGUCUCACCGUCAUGUUGUUUUUUCUAACUAUAGGGUUUACCUUCCCAACCACAAUAGUAACCUUUUCGACCUCUUUGAUAUUUCGUAGAGGUUCGAGUCAGUCCCCGUUUCUAGGUUCAUUGUUCCCUGUACCUACAAGUUGGGCCGAGUGUCUGUUCUAGCCAGCUAGAAAGCCCGUGAGGACUGGUCUAUUUGUCUCGACUCGUCAACUAUUAACUACAAGAACGUCUCCGACUACGACCUAGUAGACCGUGAUAGAGAUUAGCCUUCAUGUUGUGUGGAGUUGGACCACGACUCGUUAAGGUUUACGUUUAACGAUUGUUGUUCCACCCAGACCAAUAACCAUUCCCACCACUCUGAUAUUUUAGGUACGUCCGGUUUAGAGUUCGAGCAUAUGUCCAGUAAGGAAACGUAAACGGAGGACCACUAUGAAGUUGACUUUCUUGUGACAUAUAACUACCAUGACGUCUCGUUUAACUUUAUCGUUUCGUCGAACACUCACUCUUAGCACGGUCUUUAGGUUACAGUCCACCGAUAAGAGUCGUCCCGAUGGCUGGAGGAGCAGGAGUCCGUUUGACCCCACGCGGACCACGUGGUUGUUGUGUUGUCGGACCAAUACCAAUAUACGUCGGACCUGGAAUAGGACCACGCGGUGGUGUCAUACCGGUCGUUGGAAUACCGUCGAUGGGAGGUCGUAGACCUCCAAUAGUCUGUCCCACCCUAGUCAGAAGUUUGGUCGUUAGUGUCGUCCGGGGGGGACCGCGACCGAUACUGAUGAUAUUGGUUGUCGUCGUUGGGGUUGUCGUUGUUAGACGGUGACCUUGACGACGUGGACGACUACGAUCGUUGAUGUUAAUGUCGGUCGGAGGACGAUCAAUACGAAGUGUUCCCAUACCACUAAGAUGGAUGAGAGUCGUCUCACCACCCGUCGUUCGAAUACUGAUGAGACCAAUGGUCUGGGUUCCCGUCGUCGUCAGAAUGAGCGUCGUCGGACCUAUACUAGUCGUCUCGAUACCCCGUAGACCGAUACCUAGUCGACGAUUGAGUUGAGUCCUACCAUGACGUGGAUCGAUACCACCAGGUCCACCACGACCAGUUCGUAGAGGUCCCGUCGUUCGAAGGUGAGGUAGGAGACCUCCGGUUGGCCCAAUAGGAUCGGUUGGUGGAUGAUCACGACAACGUAGUUCGAUGGGUCACGUUCCAAGACGGGGAGGUAGACCUAUACAACGAGGUGUAUGUGUCGGACCAAUACCAUGCGUCGGUGGUGGUGUCCCGCGUAUGCCAGUCCCACCAAUACCCGUCGGAGGCGUCCGAGUCUUCGGCGGAAGUAGACGAGGAUGAAUACCUGUCGGUGGCGUACGAGUCCGACCAAUACCCGUCAUACCUAUGUCAGUCGUUCCGAUACCACGUGGCGGCGGAAUGGGACCACGUGGAUGACGAUCGGUCGGUCCGAUACCGGUCGUCGUCAGUAUGCCACUAGGAAUACGAUGACCAUCGAUACCCGUCGGAUGUCGCAUAAGAUGACUUCGAUGUCGUGGACGACGCAGGGUCCUAGUUAGACGACGACGUGGACGCGGAUGGUGUCGUUGACGGCGAGGACGAGGACGGUUGUCACCACGGGGGGUUUGAAGAGGCUCAACUCGACGGACGAGGACGGAGUCGACGUAAACGUUAGACCAAAGGAACCGAGACGACGAACUUCAUAUUAUGAGUCAAAUAGGUACAAUAGAACAAUAACGAACGAACACUUGAAGUAUAUAACGAUAUAAUAUAGGACCAAAACGACGAACGCAUACCGUACAUGACGACACGAACACUAGCGACCACGUAUUACACUGGUUAUGAACCAAACCUAUGACUUAACGUUGACACAAGUCAAAACGUCGAAUUACACAAUAAUAUCAAUACACCUACUUUAUACAUAAACUGUAGUUAAAGAUCGUCCGUGAACUCGGAGUAUGAAACAAAAGAAAGUAAACUACAAAAGUGUAACAAUACACCCC